rnacentral:rRNA from 1 species
GGAAUCUUCCACAAUGGGCGCAAGCCUGAUGGAGCAACACCGCGUGAGUGAAGAAGGGUUUCGGCUCGUAAAACUCUGUUGUUGGAGAAGAACGUGCGUAAGAGUAACUGUUUACGCAGUGACGGUAUCCAACCAGAAAGUCACGGCUAACUACGUGCCG